rnacentral:RNase_P_RNA from 1 species
AAAGCAGGCCAGACGGUCGCGUCCCGCUCACGCGGGAUGAGGAAAGUCCGAACUCCGCAGGGCAGGGCGGUCGCUAACGGCGACGCGGCGCGAGCCGGCGGAAAGUGCCACAGAAACAAGACUGCCUCGAUUCGUCGAGGCACAGGUGCAAAGGCGAGGUAAAAGCUCACCGUGUUCCGCGUGAGCGGGACAGCAAGGCAAACCCCACCCGGAGCAAGACCAAAUAAGUUCCGUUCCCAUGCGGGGAAGAGUUGCCCGCUCAAUUUCCCCGCCUUGAGGCGGGGAAGACGGAACGGGUAGGUCGCUCGAGGCGCCGAGCAAUCGGCGUCCUAGAUAAAUGACCGUCGCCUCAUCCCGACUCGUCGGGAUGAGAGACAGAAUUCGGCUUAUCGGCCUGCUUUGGAU